rnacentral:rRNA from 1 species
UAGAGUUUGAUCAUGGCUCAGGAUGAACGCUAGCGGCAGGCCUAAUACAUGCAAGUCGAACGGUGUCUUCGGACAUAGUGGCGCACGGGUGCGUAACACGUAUGCAACCUACCUUACAUUGGGGGAUAGCCUUUCGAAAGGGAGAUUAAUACCGCAUAAGACAGUAGUCUGGCAUCAGACAGCUGUUAAAGAUUUAUCGAUGUAAGCUGGGCAUGCGUCCAAUUAGUUAGUUGGCGAGGUAACGGCUCACCAAGACUAUGAUUGGUAGGGGAACUGAGAGGUCAAUCCCCCACACUGGCACUGAGAUACGGGCCAGACUCCUACGGGAGGCAGCAGUAGGGAAUAUUGGGCAAUGGACGCAAGUCUGACCCAGCCAUGCCGCGUGCAGGAAGAAGGCGUUAUGCGUUGUAAACUGCUUUUAUACAGGAAGAAACGACUCUUGCGAGAGGCAUUGACGGUACUGUAUGAAUAAGCACCGGCUAACUCCGUGCCAGCCGCCGCGGUAAUUC